UCUCUCAGAUCAUGACACGUGUAAAAACAACAUCUAACGGUUUACAUAAUGCCACGUAGUGAUUGACUCUCCCAACUCCUCUUUCUCUCCCUAACCCAUAGAACCACCGCCAUCAGAACCCAGAGAAAGAGGGGAGACCCGUACCUGAGGAAUCUAAAUCGAGUGAUCAGUGAGGGUCGGGUGGGGAAAUCCGUACCUGAGGAACCUCGGGUCGGGGUUUUCAAGACUCUGGAGCUUAGAUUUGACGUCCUUGGCGAGGCGAUCGUAGACCAUGGCGGUCGACAGAAGAGGCCUCGACAGUGGGGUUGAGAAUGAAGGUGUGAUGACGGGUGAGGUGGAGCUGGAUCGAACGGCUUGGGUCAGCACCGGCGAGGCCUUGACCAACCGGCGGCGGGCCAGCGGUGUGAGAAGGUGCUUCACCGCCAUGGCUGUAGCUCAGAGAAGAGCCUUACCGUUUGGUGAUACAACCCAGUUUCACAGAGAAUACUCUCUCUCGCUCUUUUUACAGCUAUGUUGUAACCAGCUGAAUGCGAGCUUACCUACACAGAUACAACUCUGCUCUCUAGGAGCUAGAAUAAUGAAAGCCCUGCUUUGAAGAGGUUAAGUGUUCUUGCUUUGCAGUAUAACAGAAUAACUGGUCAGAUUCCUACAAGCUUGGGGAACUUGGAAGAGUGAGCUUUUUGGGAUUGAUUCAUGCUUGAUGAUUAUCAUAAUUAAGUACUACUCAAGCUCAUACUUGCAAUGCAUUUUCUUCUCUAAUUUUGAAGCAGCUCAGUUUAAAGAUUUCCUCCAGUCGUUCCAAACUGAAGGUAAAAUGGUUUGUGAAUGGACCACAAAGCAUUGUGUUGAAAUUCUGUUUUUCAAAUAAUCUAUUUUGGAUUGGUGGACUCAAAAACAGUUUGUAUUGAACAGCAGGGUUAGAUAUAAGUGCUGCAGUUCUGAAGAAUUUGAAAGCAUCACAAGUUGCUGGUAGAGCCAAGGAAGUAUGUAGAGAAGCCAGCCAAGUUUGCGAGUCCAAAAUGCAGCUCCCGCUUCAUCCAGCAGCCUCGUUGAAUUAGCUUACCUCUUAUGUAGUUUAGCCAAUGGCAAAACCAAAGUACUUGUCAUGUACAGUUCCUUAGUAGAGUAAAAGAGAUGUUAGCCGUGAUCUUUUCAUGGAUUGGCUGGUACUUAGAAUUUUCUUUGUUUUUGUUUGUUUAUAAAGGAUAAUCAAAAAACCUUACUUUUAUGUAAUUAAUCAUGUUGAAGAUAAAUAAAUUUUCUUUUUACCAUUCUCAA